rfam:Callipepla squamata strain Texas jcf7180005231469, whole genome shotgun sequence.
GCCUAUGGCCAUACCAUCCAGAAAAUGCCUGAUCUUGUCUGAUUUCAGAAGCUAAGCAGGGUCGGGCUCAGUUAGUAUAUGGAUGGGAGACUGCCUGGGCAUACCUAAUGUUGUAGACA